CCUUUNNGCANNNAAGUNUCCCCAGUUUNCAANGACCCUCCNNGGUUGNNNNGUGGGCUUUCACAUCAGACUUAAGAAACCACCUGCGCGCGCUUUACGCCCAAUAAUUCCGGAUAACGCUUGCCACCUACGUAUUACCGCGGCUGCUGGCACGUAGUUAGCCGUGGCUUUCUGGUUAGGUACCGUCAAGGUGCCAGCUUAUUCAACUAGCACUUGUUCUUCCCUAACAACAGAGUUUUACGACCCGAAAGCCUUCAUCACUCACGCGGCGUUGCUCCGUCAGACUUUCGUCCAUUGCGGAAGAUUCCCUACUGCUGCCUCCCGUAGGAGUCUGGGCCGUGUCUCAGUCCCAGUGUGGCCGAUCACCCUCUCAGGUCGGCUACGCAUCGUUGCCUUGGUGAGCCGUUACCUCACCAACUAGCUAAUGCGACGCGGGUCCAUCCAUAAGUGACAGCCGAAGCCGCCUUUCAAUUUCGAACCAUGCGGUUCAAAAUGUUAUCCGGUAUUAGCCCCGGUUUCCCGGAGUUAUCCCAGUCUUAUGGGCAGGUUACCCACGUGUUACUCACCCGUCCGCCGCUAACUUCAUAAGAGCAAGCUCUUAAUCCAUUCGCUCGANNNCANGUAUUG
rnacentral:rRNA from 1 species